rnacentral:rRNA from 1 species
UGGGGAAUUUUGCGCAAUGGGCGAAAGCCUGACGCAGCGACGCCGCGUGGGUGAUGAAGGCCUUCGGGUUGUAAAGCCCUGUGGGGAGGGAAAAAUAAGGGGCGGCUAAUACCCGCACCGAUGACGGUACCUCCUUAGCAAGCACCGGCUAACUCUGUGCCAGCAGCCGCGGUAAGACAGAGGGUGCAAACGUUGUUCGGAAUUACUGCGCGUAAAGCGCGUGUAGGCGGUCUAGCAAGUCGGAUGUGAAAGCCCUUGGCUCAACUGAGGAAGUGCAUUCGAAACUGCGAGACUUGAGUCCCGGAGAGGAUGGUGGAAUUCUCGGUGUAGAGGUGAAAUUCGUAGAUAUCGAGAGGAACACCGGUGGCAAAGGCGGCCAUCUGGACGGUGACUGACGCUGAGACGCGAAAGCAUGGGGAGCAAACAG